UACGAAGGGGGCUAGCGUUGCUCGGAAUCACUGGGCGUAAAGGGUGCGUAGGCGGGUCUUUAAGUCAGGGGUGAAAUCCUGGAGCUCAACUCCAGAACUGCCUUGAUACUGGAAGAUCUUGAGUCGGGAGAGGUGAGUGGAACUGCGAGUGUAGAGGUGAAAUUCGUAGAUAUUCGCAAGAACACCAGUGGCGAAGGCGGCUCACUGGCCCGGUACUGACGCUGAGGUGCGAAAGCGUGGGGAGCAAACAGG
rnacentral:rRNA from 1 species